AAACAGAAUCAAUGAUCUUGAAAAAGAACUUCAAAGAACAUUUCAUUAUUACCAGGAAGAGAUUGUUUCUGUUCAGAAAGAAACCCACAAUAAUUGGUUGGCAGCUUGUAUUGCUAAAAGAAGCCUGAAUGACUUGAAGCAAGAAAAUAAAAGGAAAAUGUAAGUAUAUCAGUGAUAACACUUGACAACUCUGGCUACUUUAUUCUGCUU